rnacentral:rRNA from 1 species
AACGAACGCUGGCGGCAUGCCUAACACAUGCAAGUCGAACGAGACCUUCGGGUCUAGUGGCGCACGGGUGCGUAACGCGUGGGAACCUGCCCUUAGGUUCGGAAUAACUCCCCGAAAGGGGUGCUAAUACCGGAUAAUGUCUUCGGACCAAAGAUUUAUCGCCUUUGGAUGGGCCCGCGUUGGAUUAGCUAGUUGGUAGUGUAAAAGCCUACCAAGGCGACGAUCCAUAGCUGGUCUGAGAGGAUGAUCAGCCACACUGGGACUGAGACACGGCCCAGACUCCUACGGGAGGCAGCAGUGGGGAAUAUUGGACAAUGGGCGAAAGCCUGAUACAGCAAUGCCGGGGGAGUGAUGAAGGCCGUAGGGUUGUAAAGCUCUUUUACCCGGGAUGAUAAUGACAGUACCGGGAGAAUAAGCACCGGCUAACUCCGUG